GAUGAAGAACGCAGUGAAAUGCGAUAAGUAGUGUGAAUUGCAGAAUUACCUGAAUCAUCGAAUCUUUGAACGCACAUUGCGCCCCCUGGUAUUCCUGGGGGCAUGCCUGUUCGAGCGUCAUUAACAACCAAUCGGGCGGGGCUUUUGCAUGCUCCCGCUCGGCCAUGGGGGAUGGACGUCGUCGGACGCCCACCCCCGAAAUGCAACGGCGGACGGCCACCCGUGGCACUGCGGCGUAGUAAGUUAACCCUUCGCGCGCGCCCACGGAGUGGACUGCCCGGCCGCUUGAACCCCCACACAUCCUACGGUUGACCUCGGAUCAGGUAGGGAUACCCGCUGAACUUAAGCAUAUCAAUAAGCGGAGGA
rnacentral:misc_RNA from 1 species